rnacentral:rRNA from 1 species
UACGGGGGGAGCAAGCGUUGUUCGGAUUUACUGGGCGUAAAGGGCGCGUAGGCGGUCAGCACAAGUCAGUUGUGAAGUCUCCGGGCUUAACUCGGAAAGGUCAACUGAUACUGUGCGACUAGAGUGCGGAAGGGGCAACUGGAAUUCUCGGUGUAGCGGUGAAAUGCGUAGAUAUCGAGAGGAACACCUGCGGCGAAGGCGGGUUGCUGGGCCGGUACUGACGCUGAGGUGCGAAAGCGUGGGGAGCAAACAGG